rnacentral:rRNA from 1 species
GAUGAACGCUAGCGGCAGGCCUAAUACAUGCAAGUCGAACGGUGUCUUCGGACAUAGUGGCGCACGGGUGCGUAACACGUAUGCAACCUACCUUACAUUGGGGGAUAGCCUUUCGAAAGGGAGAUUAAUACCGCAUAAGACAGUAGCUGGGCAUCCAGCAGCUGUUAAAGAUUUAUCGAUGUAAGCUGGGCAUGCGUCCAAUUAGCUAGUUGGUGAGGUAACGGCUCACCAAGGCAAUGAUUGGUAGGGGAACUGAGAGGUCAAUCCCCCACACUGGAACUGGGAGACGGGCCAGACUCCUACGGGAGGCAGCAGUAGGGAAUAUUGGGCAAUGGACGCAAGUCUGACCCAGCCAUGCCGCGUGCAGGAUGAAGGCGUUAUGCGUUGUAAACUGCUUUUAUACAGGAAGAAACGACUCUUGCGAGAGGCAUUGACGGUACUGUAUGAAUAAGCACCGGCUAACUCCGUGCCAGCAGCCGCCGUAAUAC